UAGGGAAUCUUCGGCAAUGGGGGCAACCCUGACCGAGCAACGCCGCGUGAGUGAAGAAGGUUUUCGGAUCGUAAAGCUCUGUUGUAAGUCAAGAACGAGUGUGAGAGUGGAAAGUUCACACUGUGACGGUAGCUUACCAGAAAGGGACGGCUAACUACGUGCCAGCAGCCGCGGUAAUACGUAGGUCCCGAGCGUUGUCCGGAUUUAUUGGGCGUAAAGCGAGCGCAGGCGGUUUGAUAAGUCUGAAGUUAAAGGCUGUGGCUCAACCAUAGUUCGCUUUGGAAACUGUCAAACUUGAGUGCAGAAGGGGAGAGUGGAAUUCCAUGUGUAGCGGUGAAAUGCGUAGACAUAUGGAGGAACACCGGUGGCGAAAGCGGCUCUCUGGUCUGUAACUGACGCUGAGGCUCGAAAGCGUGGGGAGCGAACAGGAUUAGAUACCCUGGUAGUCCACGCCGUAAACGAUGAGUGCUAGGUGUUGGAUCCUUUCCGGGAUUCAGUGCCGCAGCUAACGCAUUAAGCACUCCGCCUGGGGAGUACGACCGCAAGGUUG
rnacentral:rRNA from 1 species